GGCUCAGUGGUCUAGGGGUAUGAUUCUCGCUUUGGGUGCUAGAGGUCCCGGGUUCAAUUCCCGACUGAGCCC
rnacentral:tRNA from 1 species